rnacentral:misc_RNA from 1 species
UGUGUUGCUUACCUACGGAAAGGAAUUCAAACGUAUCGUUGUCCCUUUCCGCCCGAUGCCCUUUGUGGGUGUGGGGUGGACGCCAGGCACGCUACGUGUUCCUCGCAUGCCUUGCCUUGCUGCGGGGCUGCUGAGGGCCACGGAGCUGUUGCCCGUUCUCUCGGAUGCGGAAUGCCACGCACGGGUGCGGGGUCUCGGCCCUUGCUUGCCCAAGCUAUGCAUUUGUCCCUUGACACGAACGACUGUCGCGACCGUCUUGAUCCCGUCGUAGCCUACGUGCUGGACGGGGCUCAUGCGGGCGUCGGCGUCGUCGAGGAAUGCUACCUGGUUGAUCCUGCCAGUAGUCAU